CUGAAUGGGCUAGGGCAUACACCAAUGUACCAAACCCUAUCAAACUCCGAAUACCUUAUAUGUAAUCACAGCAGUCAGGCGGCGAGUGAUAAAAUCCGUCGUCAAGAGGGAAACAACCCAGACUACCAGCUAAGGUCCCUAAAUCUUACUUAAGUGGAAAACGAUGUGAAGUUACUUAAACAACCAGGAGGUUGGCUUAGAAGCAGCCAUCCUUUAAAGAAAGCGUAAUAGCUCACUGGUCUAGUGAUUUUGCGCGGAAAAUAUAACGGGGCUAAAGUAAGUACCGAAGCUGUAGACUUAGUUUACUAAGUGGUAGGAGAGCGUUCUAUUUGCGUCGAAGGUAUACCGGUAAGGAGUGCUGGAGCGAAUAGAAGUGAGCAUGCAGGCAUGAGUAGCGAUAAUUAAUGUGAGAAUCAUUAACGCCGUAAACCCAAGGUUUCCUACGCGAUGCUCGUCAUCGUAGGGUUAGUCGGGUCCUAAGUCGAGUCCGAAAGGGGUAGACGAUGGCAAAUUGGUUAAUAUUCCAAUACCAACAUUAGUGUGCGAUGGAAGGACGCUUAGGGCUAAGGGGGCUAGCGGAUGGAAGUGCUAGUCUAAGGUCGUAGGAGGUUAUACAGGCAAAUCCGUAUAACAAUACUCCGAGAACUGAAAGGCUUUUUGAAGUCUUCGGAUGGAUAGAAGAACCCCUGAUGCCGUCGAGCCAAGAAAAGUUUCUAAGUUUAGCUAAUGUUGCCCGUACCGUAAACCGACACAGGUGGGUGGGAUGAGUAUUCUAAGGCGCGUGGAAGAACUCUCUUUAAGGAACUCUGCAAAAUAGCACCGUAUCUUCGGUAUAAGGUGUGGUUAGCUUUGUAUUAGGAUUUACUCCGAAAGCAAGGAAACUUACAACAAAGAGUCCCUCCCGACUGUUUACCAAAAACACAGCACUCUGCUAACUCGUAAGAGGAUGUAUAGGGUGUGACGCCUGCCCGGUGCUCGAAGGUUAAUUGAUGGGGUUAGCAUUAGCGAAGCUCUUGAUCGAAGCCCGAGUAAACGGCGGCCGUAACUAUAACGGUCCUAAGGUAGCGAAAUUCCUUGUCGGUUAAAUACCGACCUGCAUGAAUGGCGUAACGAGAUGGGAGCUGUCUCAAAGAGGGAUCCAGUGAAAUUGUAGUGGAGGUGAAAAUUCCUCCUACCCGCGGCAAGACGGAGAGACCCCGUGGACCUUUACUACAGCUUGACACUGCUACUUGGAUAAGAAUGUGCAGGAUAGGUGGGAGGCUUUGAGUAUAUGACGCCAGUUGUAUAUGAGCCAUUGUUGAGAUACCACUCUUUCUUAUUUGGGUAGCUAACCAGCUUGAGUUAUCCUCAAGUGGGACAAUGUCUGGUGGGUAGUUUGACUGGGGCGGUCGCCUCCCAAAUAAUAACGGAGGCUUACAAAGGUUGGCUCAGAACGGUUGGAAAUCGUUCGUAGAGUAUAAAGGUAUAAGCCAGCUUAACUGCAAGACAUACAAGUCAAGCAGAGACGAAAGUCGGUCUUAGUGAUCCGGUGGUUCUGUGUGGAAGGGCCAUCGCUCAAAGGAUAAAAGGUACCCCGGGGAUAACAGGCUGAUCUCCCCCAAGAGCUCACAUCGACGGGGAGGUUUGGCACCUCGAUGUCGGCUCAUCGCAUCCUGGGGCUGGAGCAGGUCCCAAGGGUAUGGCUGUUCGCCAUUUAAAGCGGUACGCGAGCUGGGUUCAGAACGUCGUGAGACAGUUCGGUCCCUAUCUGCCGUGGGCGUAAGAAGAUUGAAGAGAUUUGACCCUAGUACGAGAGGACCGGGUUGAACAAACCACUGGUGUAGCUGUUGUUCUGCCAAGAGCAUCGCAGCGUAGCUAAGUUUGGAAAGGAUAAACGCUGAAAGCAUCUAAGCGUGAAGCCAACUCUAAGAUGAAUCUUCUCUAAGCUCUCUAGAAGACUACUAGUUUGAUAGGCUGGGUGUGUAAUGGAUGAAAGUCCUUUAGCUGACCAGUACUAAUAGAGCGUUUGGCUUAUCUUU
rnacentral:rRNA from 1 species